GUGGUCGUGCCCGAGUGGUUAAGGGGUCUGAUUCGAAAUCAGAUGGGAUCUCCCGCAUAGGUUCGAAUCCUGUCGACCGCG
rnacentral:tRNA from 1 species